ACCCCUUCCGACGUCUGGCUGGCUGUGUGUGUCCGAAGAACCGAAAUGAAUGGCUCAAUGAUGCCGUCUUCAUCGUUGCCGUUGUCUACCUUCUUAUCCGUUCGACAUUCACAUGUCUUCAUAAUUUUAUAGCGUAAUGGUUUUUCUUUAUCACUAUCUUCAAAUAAUUAGCUACAGUUU
ensembl:snoRNA C26C6.13 ncRNA